AUUUUUGGUAAUUAGGAAUGGACCAGCUGGGAAAAAAGAUGAAAGGGAAGAGUUCGGCAACAUCUGAUGGAGCAGCAGAGCUUUCUCACACUUCCGCCUUCCACAACAUCCUAGUUCUCAAGACUACAAUAAAUUUUCAUUCAUUCUCUCCCCGUGUUGUGUGCAUGUUUAAAGCGGACCGUGGCUCUCCUUCUGCACUUCUGUUUUCUAUGGAAAACCUCUCCAAGGGUUAAACAGACCGAGUCGACAUUCCUAGUGUGUCUUCUAGGAAGGAGGGUUGUAAACUGUUUUAAGUCACUUCCUGCUUUUCAUCUCUCUCUCUCUCCCCCCCACCUAACACACUGUGGGAGAGAUUCCAGUAUAAUGUCAAUGGCUGACUGGGAUCGGCUGGAUUUUUAUUCCCAUGUAACUGUGAAUUUAAUAGUCACCCUUGUGACGUUCUCUUCUCUGGUUUCCACCAGACAUAAUAACACGAAUAANCACAGUCUCUCGGCUUCAACUUAUAGUGCAUUCAGGUCUUUCAUCUCAGUUACGCUGCUUGGCUCUCAGCUCUCCAACAUCUUCGGGUUACUCUUCUCCAGAUAUUACACCUUCUCCAUCU
rnacentral:lncRNA from 1 species